GACCUCUUAGCUCAGUUGGUUACAGCAAGGUGCUUGUAUCACCGAGGCUGUGGGUUCAAUCUCUGUGUGGGCCA